rnacentral:tRNA from 1 species
GCCGAGGUAGCCAAGCCCGGUAUGGCGGCGGUCUCGAAAACCGCUGGAGCAAUCCUCGGGAGUUCGAAUCUCUCCCUCGGCGCCA